UAACCAUGCAUGUCUAAGUAUAAGCAAUUAUACCGCGAAACUGCGAAUGGCUCAAUAAAUCAGUUAUCGUUUAUUUGAUAUGUACCUGCUACAUGGAUAACCGUGGUAAUUCUAGAGCUAAUACAUGCAAAAGCCUCGACUUCGGAAGAGGUGUAUUUAUUAGAUUAAAAACCAACGCCCUUCGGGGCUCUUUGGUGAUUCAUGAUAACUUGUCGAAUCGCAUGGCCUUGUGCUGGCGAUGGUUCAUUCAAAUUUCUGCCCUAUCAACUUUCGACGGCUGGGUCUUGGCCAGCCGUGGUGACAACGGGUAACGGAGGGUUAGGGCUCGACCCCGGAGAAGGAGCCUGAGAAACGGCUACUACAUCCAAGGAAGGCAGCAGGCGCGCAAAUUACCCAAUCCCGACACGGGGAGGUAGUGACAAUAAAUACUGAUACAGGGCUCUUUUGGGUCUUGUAAUUGGAAUGAGUACAAUUUAAAUCCCUUAACGAGGAACAAUUGGAGGGCAAGUCUGGUGCCAGCAGCCGCGGUAAUUCCAGCUCCAAUAGCGUAUAUUAAAGUUGUUGAGGUUAAAAAGCUCGUAGUUGAACCUUGGGCCUGGCCGGCCGGUCCGCCUCACCGCGUGUACUGGUUCGGCCGGGUCUUUCCUCUUGGAGAACCUCAUGCCCUUCACUGGGUGUGCUGGGGAACCAGGACUGUUACUCUGAACAAAUUAGAUCGCUUAAAGAAGGCCUAUGCUCGAAUACUCUAGCAUGGAAUAACGGAAUAGGACGCGUGGUUCUAUUUUGUUGGUUUCUAGGACCACCGUAAUGAUUAAUAGGGACAGUCGGGGGCAUCAGUAUUCAAUCGUCAGAGGUGAAAUUCUUGGAUCGAUUGAAGACUAACUACUGCGAAAGCAUUUGCCAAGGAUGUUUUCAUUAAUCAGGAACGAAAGUUAGGGGAUCGAAAACGAUCAGAUACCGUUGUAGUCUUAACCAUAAACUAUGCCGAUUAGGGAUCGGACGACGUUAUUCUUUGACUCGUUCGGCACCUUACGACAAAUCAAAAUGUUUGGGCUCCUGGGGGAGUAAGG
rnacentral:rRNA from 1 species